UGAGGAAUAUUGGUCAAUGGGCGCAGGCCUGAACCAGCCAAGUAGCGUGAAGGAUGACUGCCCUAUGGGUUGUAAACUUCUUUUAUAAAGGAAUAAAGUCGGGUAUGUAUACCCGUUUGCAUGUACUUUAUGAAUAAGGAUCGGCUAACUCCGUGCCAGCAGCCGCGGUAAUACGGAGGAUCCGAGCGUUAUCCGGAUUUAUUGGGUUUAAAGGGAGCGUAGAUGGAUGUUUAAGUCAGUUGUGAAAGUUUGCGGCUCAACCGUAAAAUUGCAGUUGAUACUGGAUAUCUUGAGUGCAGUUGAGGCAGGCGGAAUUCGUGGUGUAGCGGUGAAAUGCUUAGAUAUCACGAAGAACUCCGAUUGCGAAGGCAGCCUGCUAAGCUGCAACUGACAUUGAGGCUCGAAAGUGUGGGUAUCAAACAGGAUUAGAUACCCUGGUAGUCCACACGGUAAACGAUGAAUACUCGCUGUUUGCGAUAUACUGCAAGCGGCCAAGCGAAAGCGUUAAGUAUUCCACCUGGGGAGUACGCCGGCAACGGUGAAACUCAAAGGAAUUGACGGGGGCCCGCACAAGCGGAGGAACAUGUGGUUUAAUUCGAUGAUACGCGAGGAACCUUACCCGGGCUUAAAUUGCAGAUGAAUUACGGUGAAAGCCGUAAGCCGCAAGGCAUCUGUGAAGGUGCUGCAUGGUUGUCGUCAGCUCGUGCCGUGAGGUGUCGGCUUAAGUGCCAUAACGAGCGCAACCCUUGUUGUCAGUUACUAACAGGUUCCGCUGAGGACUCUGACAAGACUGCCAUCGUAAGAUGUGAGGAAGGUGGGGAUGACGUCAAAUCAGCACGGCCCUUACGUCCGGGGCUACACACGUGUUACAAUGGGGGGUACAGAGGGCCGCUACCACGCGAGUGGAUGCCAAUCCCCAAAACCUCUCUCAGUUCGGACUGGAGUCUGCAACCCGACUCCACGAAGCUGGAUUCGCUAGUAAUCGCGCAUCAGCCACGGCGCGGUGAAUACGUUCCC
rnacentral:rRNA from 1 species